GCAGGUGGGACCAGCCCUGGUCAGGGUAAGAUGAGAGGUACAGCCAGAACCUCAGCUUCCGGGGUGAGUCAGUGCCUAGGCGGAGGCCACUGGAUGGCUUGUGAAGGGCCAAGCUGUGUGGAUGGGGCAGGAGAGCAUGGCAUACAGUAGGUACCAGUAAAUCCUGUGAACUCAAAAUGGCGACUGAAGCAUAUUGACUGAACAGUCUGAAAGACAAACUAUUUGGGAAGAAAGAGCUUGAGCCCAAGGAAAGGAGUUAGAAGGCUCUAGUGAACAUGUCAACCUGAAGUGCUAUGCCUGGAUGGUGGAGAGGAUGAGGGAAUUCCGUUGACACUUCCUUGCCUUUGCAUAGCAAUGUGAUUCUCUCUCUUUUUUUUAAAGAUUUUAUUUAUUCAUUCAUGAGAGGCAGAGGGAGAAGCAGGCUGGAGCCUGACGCAGGACUCAGUCCCAGGACCCUGGGAUCAUGACCUGAGCUGAAGGCAGACGCUUAACCAUCUAAGCCACCCAGGCACCCAAUGUGAUUCUCUUUUAAAUGCUCUUUGGGGUGUAGGCUUGUUUUUGACCUUGGAUGGAGUUCCUCGGUGAAAUAGAAAAGAUACUCUGUAUCCUUUUCAACCACCAGCCUGAAACUACAUUCAGAGAGGGCACAGCGGUGCCUGAAGUCACACCGCCAGGAUCUAUUUAGGAUACUUUUAUUCUCAGAUAAAAUUUCUAGUUAGUCACACCGCCAGGAUCUAUUUAGGAUACUUUUAUUCUUAGAUAAAAUUUCUAGUUGUGUUUAUGCUUAAAACACCCUCAACGAACAGAAAAAGGGACUGGGUCCUACUCUUUUCCCUAUUUCCUCUAGCCACCAUCUUGGUGAUGGUCAAGGGUCCAAGAAGGACAAAAGAGAGAACAGGGAGUGAACUGAUGGGCAGCUUUUCAGAGUCUUCUGUGGAACCAGACAGGUGAUGGCCCCAAGUCAGCCUUCUGGUAGGAGCUGAGAGAGGUGCAGAGCAAGAACAAAGGAAGACGGAAGCAGAGGAAGGGAAGAAAAAGGUGCCUUGACCCUGGGCAUUCUGAAGCUCCACGUUGAACCUCCUCUGUCCUGUGAGCAAGUCAAGAGGCUUUCUGGGGAGGCCAGCAUAUCUCAGGAAAUGCCCAGUUUCACUCCCACAUGGACUUCAGGCAACUAUCUAAGUCCCGAUUCUGUACCUAGACUAGAAUCACCUCUCACUUUGCACUUUCCAUGCCCUAAGAGGCCUAGACAGAAGAGACAAGUCUUUUGAGAGUUGGGUUGCAGUGGUAAGUACAGGGAUAAGGCAGUCACCGGAAGGACUUCUCUGUCCCAAACCCUCCAAAGGAGGCAUAGAAACAGACUAGAAAUGCCACAAGGACUGUCACAGAACACUGCAGGCCAGACAGGAGCUGGAAAGCCUAAGUUUAUGAGGGAGCUAAUCAGAAUGGUCAUUUGCUCUUUUCCCCACAGUGUUUGGGGGCCUAGACUCAGCUGCAGUGAAGACAGCUGGUCCAACUGUUAGAGAACUAGAAAUGAGCAGGUCACAAAAACAGAAAGGGCUAAGGGGCCGAGCCCAGACAGGCCGAGCAGA